rnacentral:rRNA from 1 species
AUUGAACGCUGGCGGAAUGCUUUACACAUGCAAGUCGAACGGCAGCACGGGGGCAACCCUGGUGGCGAGUGGCGAACGGGUGAGUAAUACAUCGGAACGUGCCCAGUCGUGGGGGAUAACGCAGCGAAAGCUGUGCUAAUACCGCAUACGAUCUACGGAUGAAAGCGGGGACUCGCAAGAGCCUCGCGCGAUUGGAGCGGCCGAUGGCAGAUUAGGUAGUUGGUAGGGGUAAAGGCUCACCAAGCCUGCGAUCUGCAGCUGGUCUGAGAGGACGACCAGCCACACUGGGACUGAGACACGGCCCAGACUCCUACGGGAGGCAGCAGUGGGGAAUUUUUGGGACAAUGGGCGCAAGCCUGAUCCAGCCACUCCGCGUGCAGGAUGAAGGCCUU